ACACACACACACACACACACACAGAAACACACACACACACACACUCUCACACACUCUCACACACACUCAGAGACACACACACACACGCCUUUAUAAUUACCCUCCAGUGUCUUUUCCUUCUUCUUCUUCUGUGGUGUAUAUUCUGGUCCUCCUUGGGGGAGGGGGGCUCAGGUCUUGGUAGAUCAUGUUGAUGACAUCACUGAUGACAUCAUGGGUGUCCAGGUGAAGAUAGAGGUUACCUGAGUUUACCUGAGGUAUCCUAAGGUGGUCUGAGGACCCUGAUCUCACUAAGACUCCCAAAAACAGGAGAACCAAUCAGAGCGGUUCAGUCAUGCAGAGGUGGGGGAGGGGCUUUUGCAGUCAGCCACGCCCCCAAAACGUCAAAAAGUUAAAACAUAAUUUAAUUUCAACAGGCUAAAAAAAAAAUAAUAAAUAAAUAAAUAAUAAUAUUAAUAAUAAUGAAAGUUAUUAUUAAUAUUAUUAAUAAAGAUAAAUAUAAAAUAAUAAUAAUAAUUAUUAUUAUUAUUAUUGUCACGAAUAAAAAUAAAAUAAAAAUAAUAAUUACAACAAUAAUAACAAUUAAAAUAAAAAUCAAUAAAUUUAUAAUAAUUAUUUUAUGAUUAUUAUAAUUAUUAUUAUUAUCAUUAAUAACAAUAAUAAUUAUUGUUAGUAUUAUUAUACUUCUAUUAUUAUUAUUGUUAUAUUAAUUAGAAUAAUAAUUAUUAUCAUAAUUAUAAUAAACUAAUAAUUAUAGUGUUAAUUUAAAUAAAUAAAUAACAAUAAUCAGAGAUGGAGUUGUAGCUUGAAUGUCCCUCUCUGCUCUCUGUCUCUGUUGGUUGAUGGUUUUUGAACAGCUGAUACUGAGUUUUACUUCUUUACUGGCUCAUGUUACUUUUUACCAUCGUUACUCGGACAGCAGGUGAAUUGUGGGUAAUCUGGGGUUAGUGGUCCAGUAUCUGUCCGCCUUGGUUUAAACUCAUGUAAAUCCAGAGUUCUAACUGUAAUCCGGGGUUAGCUGUGGCUCAGUGGGUUCAGUCAGUGUGUGUAAGGUGUCUGUGUGCUGAAGUGUCCUUGGUUUAGACACUGUGAGGGGGGGGGUUAGGGUCAGUCUGUGAUUCCUGUCCCAUCAAAGAGAUAUGAGACAGGUGUACGCCGGCGUGUGUGCAGGCGGCCUCUAACAUGAACAUCACUGACUGUCCUUUAAUAUCUGAUGUUUGUGCAGCUUAAACAGACAAACUCUGAGUGUUUCAGAGACGUGUCACUGAGCUUUAGGACAAAUUAAAGCUUUUACAAGGUUUUAACUCACUCAUCCACAUCCUGAGCCACGCUGAGCGCCGUCUGAGCGCGCUCUGAAACAUUCAUCAAGUCAUCAUCACACAUUUAGACAAACAGCUUCUCCCGACCACGAGCCGACAUUAAAAACGUCAACGCUCAUUUUUAUUUCAUCAGCGACACCCGAACACGAGCAGGAGCGCUGUUUCUGAUGAAAAAAAGAUGAUCGCACACACACACACACACACAGACACACACACACACACACACAGACACACACAGACACACACACACACACACACACACACACACACACACACACACACACUCUCUCUCAGAGUCUGUGUGUGUCGAGCCUUUUAGCACUUUUUGUCGUCACGGUGAGUUAAAAGUUAAAACCUCUCAGAUGAACACUUUAUCUGGUCAUUUUCUAAAAUUUAUAACAAAACUGUGUGUGUGUGUGUGUGCGUGUGUGUGUGUGUGUGUGUGUGUUCCAGCUGGGUAGGCAGAGAUGUUUGUGUCUAAAAGCAGAAUAAAUAUUAAAAAGAGAAAAAGGAUCAAUAUUUUAUUCCAGAUAAAUUAUGAUGGAGUGUUUCUGAAAGCCUGCAGAGACUGUGUGUGUGUGUGUGUGUGUGUGUGUGUGUGUGUGUGUGUGUGUGUGUGUGUGUGUGUGUGUGUGUGUGUGUGUGUUAAUAAUGGAUCAGUGUGUCAGUGUGUGUUGGGAUGUUUAAUUGUUGGAUGACACACAUUAAAGUUUCAGUUUGUGUCUCUGACUGUUUGUCGCCACAUGAAGCUGAAUGAGUCUGAUCCUCCGUGACAGACAGAUGGUAACCAAGCUAACCAAGCUAACAAGGCUAACAAGGCUAACCAAGCUAACCAUGCUAACAGAGCUAACGGUGAUAACCACAUCUGUGCUGUGUACGAACUCUGAUAAAAUGCUGUCAGUCUCUCUGUGUAGUACCUAAGGUCCUGAUGGUUCUGGGUCCUGAUGGUUCUGGGUCCUGAUGGUUCUGGGUCCUGAUGGUUCUGGGUCCUGAUGCGGGUCGUGUCAUGUUUACAGUUUUUUUUUACACUCUUUUUCCGUCUUUAUUGAUCUGGUUUAAAGUUUGAAUGAAGAACUUUUCUUUUAUACGAUGUUGUUGAUUCUAAAGUUUAAAAGUAAAUGAAAGUUUAUUGACUUUAAUUCUUUUCAGUCAGACUGGAACAAAAACUGUUUCUAUGGUAACGC